rnacentral:tRNA from 1 species
CGCGGGGUAGAGCAGUUGGUAGCUCGUCGGGCUCAUAACCCGGAGGUCGCAGGUUCAAGUCCUGCCCCCGCUACAA